UACGUAGGGGGCAAGCGUUGUCCGGAUUUACUGGGCGUAAAGGGCGCGUAGGCGGCCUCUGCAAGUCGACUGUGAAAUCUCCGGGCUUAACCCGGAAAGGUCAGCCGAUACUGCAGGGCUAGAGUGCAGAAGGGGCAACUGGAAUUCUCGGUGUAGCGGUGAAAUGCGUAGAUAUCGAGAGGAACACCUGCGGCGAAGGCGGGUUGCUGGGCUGACACUGACGCUGACAGCGCGAAAGCUAGGGGAGCGAACGGG
rnacentral:rRNA from 1 species